UACGUAGGUGACAAGCGUUGUCCGGAUUUACUGGGCGUAAAGAGCGCGCAGGCGGUCGUUCAAGUCGAGUGUGAAAGCCCCCGGCUCAACUGGGGAGGGUCAUUCGAUACUGAUCGACUCGAAGGCAGGAGAGGGAAGUGGAAUUCCCGGUGUAGUGGUGAAAUGGCGUAGAUAUCGGGAGGAACACCAGUGGCGAAGGCGACUUCCUGGCCUGUUCUUGACGCUGAGGCGGCGAAAAGCUAGGGGAGCAAACGGG
rnacentral:rRNA from 1 species